rnacentral:lncRNA from 1 species
GCCAGGAUGAGAACAGGCACGGUGACUUCUUCUCUGCCCUGCUAAAGGCUCAGCCGCAGUUCCUCAAUGACUGGAAGGCCAAGCUCUGGUCACGGUUCUUCUGCCUCUCGGUAAUUUCAGUCUAUUCCUUCAUUAAAGGUGGGUUAACUCUGUAAGUUGUUGUUCUCCCCCUUCUGACGAUAGUGGUAUAUGACCUUCUGCAGGUGUAUGUGACCAUGUACCUAAAUGACUGCCAACGCACUGCAUUCUAUGAGGGAAUUGGUUUGGACACCAAGGAAUUUGACAUGCAUGUGAUCAUUGAGGUGAAAAUGAGCUGUCUUUUCUUAACAGUGCCAUCGUAUCUGCAUUUUAGUUGUCACUUAGGCACUUACACUUACUGUGUUUCAGAUAAUUCUGAACAACUGCUGAACAUGGAAAUAAGGUCCUUGUAAAAUAUUAAAGAAAACACAUGAACCUUGUUUGAUUGUUUCAGCUCUAGUGAGAAUUUAUGAAUUACUUCAGAACUUGUGAUAUAAAUCAAGGCCAUUGCUGAUAAUGUAAUGUCUGCCUAUCUCUGCAGACC